rnacentral:rRNA from 1 species
ACUACGGGAGGCAGCAGUGAGGAAUAUUGGUCAAUGGGCGCGAGCCUGAACCAGCCAAGUAGCGUGAAGGAUGACUGCCCUACGGGUUGUAAACUUCUUUUAUAAAGGAAUAAAGUGAGGCACGUGUGCCUUUUUGUCUGUACUUUAUGAAUAAGGAUCGGCUAACUCCGUGCCAGCAGCCGCGGUAAUACGGAGGAUGCGAGCGUUAUCCGGAUUUAGUGGGUUUAAAGGGAGCGUAGAUGGGUUGUUAAGUCAGUUGUGAAAGUUUGCGGCUCAACCGUAAAAUUGCAAUUGAUACUGGCAGCCUUGAGUACAGUUGAGGUAGGCGGAAUUCGUGGUGUAGCGGUGAAAUGCUUAGAUAUCACGAAGAACUCCGAUUGCGAAGGCAGCUUACUAAACUGCCACUGACAUUGAUGCUCGAAAGUGUGGGUAUCAAACAGGAUUAGAUACCCUUGUAGUC